rnacentral:lncRNA from 1 species
CGGCGGCGGAGCAGGCUCGACCCGGGCUCGCACUUCCGCUGGCGUCAGGCGGGUGGGCUGCUGCGAUCACUUCCCGGUUGGGGCGCCGAGCUCCGGAGUCGGCCGCCAGCCUUUGGGCCCCACGCUCCGGGUCUGGUGCGCGGUCUGGCCGCGCUCGGGCCCUCGCCAAAUGAGAGCGCAGCGCCUCUCCGCCUUCGGAUCCAGAGAAAGAGCUUGUUGCUGCCUCUAAAAGGUUGGAGCCUUAGUAAGCGGUUCCUGCCUUUCCUGCACAGACCAGACCGCCGGGUGCUGGUCUGCGCUCUGCCGCGCGCCGACUGGGACAGCCCACCCACGAGAUCCUUGUUCCUGAAAUCCCUUUCCUUCCCUCAUCUGCCAAGAAAACUUUCAACUUUUGGGCUCUCCGCGCCUCCCAAGCUUCCUCGAAUCCCUGGGCCCUUGACUGUUCUGCCCUGAUGGCACUUGGUGAGAGAUCCAUUGAGAGCCCUUUCCGUGCCUUCCUGAAUAUUGAUAUGUUUUCCAGCCUCUCCUCCUGCGCUGGCCCAAGGACUCAUUUUCCGUCCCUGCUUCCUCACUAAAAAGAGGGUGCCCAAUAAUUGCUUGUUCCAUACAGAAGGCAGGGAGGCCGUCUCUAGGUUUUCUCCCACUCAGAUCUGCUGUCCUCACAGCCACCUCCCCAAGAGGAAUGAAGGGAAAUUGACUCGACUCGGAACUCGAGGACCUUUCACAAGAGACCACUGGGUUAGGGGGCAGAGCUGGUAAUAGAAUCCAGCGCUCCGAACCCUGAAUCAUGUCCUCUUUUUGCUGCUGAGGCUCAGGCCACAGCACCCCAAAUUAUGACUGUAGAAUACCAAAAUAUGCUAUCCCAAAAUACACUUGUUUGGCACAUUUCAAGCUGGUUAUUCUGAGAAACUGCAGACACGGGAGUAGCUCUGAAAAGCUGUCCUUUUGUAAAGCAAAUUUACAUCUAUAAAGGAAGUCCACAUAGUAAAAGUAUCUGUGUCAGGAAGGCAGCUGCUCAGAGAACUUUUAUUACAUGAGAGACUUUACAUAACAAGGCAACUUUUUUUUUUUUUUUUUUUUUUUUUUUUGAGGCAGAGUCUCGCUCAGUCGCCCAGGCUGGAGUGCAUUGGCAUGAUCCCGGCUCACUGCAACCUCCGCCCCCCGGGUUCAAGCGAUUCUCCGGCCUCAGCCUCUGAAGUAGCCGGGAUUACAGGCGCGCGCCACCGCGCCCGGGUAAUUUUUGUAUUUUUAGUAGAGACGGGGUUUCACCAUGUUGGUCAGGCUGGUCUCGAACUCCUGACCUCGUGAUCCGCCCACCUCGGCCUCCCAAAGUGCUGGGAUUACAGGUGUGAGCCACCGCGCGCAGCCACAAGGCAACAUUAUUUACCAUACAUUUCCUCCACUAACCCUCCUAUAUCCUACCUGUGGUGCCUCCCCACUGUCCCCACAGAAGCCCCAAGCCCUUAUUUAUUUCUAGCUCAGAAUGCUAUAAGCUUCAAUCAUCUGGCCCUUCAUGUUUUGUGAGAUUCCUGUGCUGCUGCGUAUGCAGGUAAUUAAAACGGUUUUUCUUCUGUUAAUCUGUCUUAUGUCGGCCAGGCGUGGUGGCUCAUGCCUGUAAUCCCAGCACUUUGGGAGGCCGAGGUGGGCGGAUCACGAGGUCAGGAGUUUGAGACCAGCCUGACCAACAUGGUGCAACCCCAUCUCUACUAAAAAUACAAAAGAAGUAGCCGGGCGAGGUGGUGCGCACCUGUAAUCCCAGUUACUCAGAAGCUGAGGCAGGAGAAUCGCUUGAACCCAGGAGGCGGAAGUUGCAGUUAGCCGAGAUUGUGCCACAGCACUCCAGCCUGGGCGACAGAGCAAGAUACCGUCUCAAAAAAAAAAAAAAAAAUCUCUGUUAUGUCAAUUUAAUUUGCAAUCCAAGUAAAGAACCUAGAAGGGUAGAGGGAAGCCAUUUUUCCCUCCCCUACAUUGCUAGUUCCAUGCCAAUGUGAGAGGACUCUGAGAAUGUGGAUGUCUGCCACCUGGAGAAAGAGUCUUAAUAACCUGGGCACUUGGCCAGGCACGGUGGCUCACACCUGUCAUCCCAGCAUUUUCAGAGGCAAAGGUGGGUGGAUCACCUGUGGUUAGGAGUUCAAGACCAGCCUGGCCAACAUGGCGAAACCCUGUCUCUACUAAAAAUACAAAAAUUAGCCAGGCAGGGUGGUGGGCACCUGUAAUUUCAGCUACUCAGGAGGCUGAGGCAGGAGAAUCACUUGAACCCAGGAGGCGGAGGUUGCAGUUAGCCUAGAUGGUGCCAUUGCACCCCAGCCUGGGCAACAAGAGCAAAAUUCUAUCUCAAUAGAUAAAUAAAUAAAUAACCUGGGGACUUGUAGCCUCUAUUGAAAGGUACCAGAAAAGGAUAAAGCCUGAGUUUUCAAGCCAGGAAGUUGCAAAUUCUAACUCUACCAAGAAGUAGCUGGGUGACCUCCAAGCCUCAGUUUCCUCAUCUUCAAAACCAGGUUAAUAGUGUCAGAGGCAUUUGAACCAGAGAGACUCCAUCUUGAAUAGGGACUGGGUAAAAUAAGGCUGUGACCUGCUGGGCUGUAUUCCCAGGAAGUUAAGGCAUUCUUCGAGGAUGAGAUGGUGGGGGUCAGCACAAGAUACAGGUCACAAAGACCUUGCUGGUAAAAUAGGAUGUAGUAAAGGAGCCGGCCAAAACCCAUCAAAAUCAAGAUGGCGACCAAAGUGAGCUCUGGUCGUGCCCACUGCUCAUUAUACACUAAUUAUAAUUCAUUAGCAUGCUAAAAGACACUCCCACCAGCACCAGGACAGUUUACAAACAUCAGGAAGUUACCCUAUAUGGUCUAAAGGAGGAGGAACCCUCAGUUCUGGGAAUUGCCCAUCCCUUUCGCGGAAAACUCAUGAAUAAUCCACCCCUUGUUUAGCAUAUAAUCAAGAAAUAACUAUAAUUAGUUGAGCAGCCCAUGCUGCAGCUCUGCCUAUGGAGUAGCCAUUCUUUACCUCCUUUACUUCUCUAAUAAAUUUGAUUUCACUUUAUGGACUUGCCCCAAAUUCUUUCUUGCGUGAGGUUCAAGAACCCUCUCUUGUGGACUGGAUGAGGACCCCACUCUGGUAACAAUAUACUUUUUGUCCAGUCACAUUUCUACAUGGCUGUCCAUACUCUGUUGAAUGUAAGCAUAAGAAUGGACAAUUUUGCUGUAUCUUUGGAUCUUCAUUCUGAAGGCUCCCAUGGCAUGUAAAACUAUGAUCAAAUAAAUUUGUAUGCCUUUUUUCCUUUUAAUCUGCCUUGUCGGUUGAUUUUCAGUGAAACUUCAGAGGGUAAAGGGGAAGUUUGCCCUUCACCCCUACAUGGUCAAGCUCAAGAUACCAAAAGACAUCAGCUGAAAAUUCAAUCAACUUGCCUGAAUCAUCCACCCCAAGCUUAGGAAGCAUGCUUGAACCCACCUGGCCAAGGCUGGUUUUGCCGGCCAAAGUCCAAGGCCAAGGCUCCAACCAAAGCCCAGACUUCAGUUGCAGCUCCAGUUCCAGUUCCAGUUCCAGCUCCAGUUCCAGUUCCAGUUCCAGCUCCAGAUCAAAUUUCCAAGGGUGCCCAUGCACACCCACAAAGGAUCUGGAGGAGAGGCCUCUGUCUACCAAUGGGAGGACAGAAGGACUGGUGUGAGCCCUGGGCUGCCAUCUGUUUCUGCAUGGAGCUGGUACCAUUCUUUUCUAUUUAUACAAACAAACAUGAGGCAGGAUCUGUCCAUUAAAAAAAAGAGGCCGGGCACAGUGGCUCAUGCCUAUAAUCCCAGCAUUUUAGGAGGCCGAGGUGGGUAAAUCACCUGAGGUUGGGAGUUCGAGACCAGCCUGGCCAAUAUGGUGAAACCUCUUCUCUACUAAAAAUACAAAAAUUAGCCGAGCGUCGCGGCACAUCUUUAAUCCCAGCUCCUCAGGAGGCUGAGGCACAAGAAUCACUUGAACCCAGGAGGUGGAGGUUGCAGUAAGCCGAGAAAACACCACUACACUCCAGCCUAGGCGACAGAAUGAGGCUCCAUCUUGAAAAGAAAAAGAAAAUUAAAAAGAAACAGUCUAUACAGGCUCAUUCCCUUUCCCCACUCAGAGUUUUUUCAAAGGAAUGUGGCCAGAUCUGGAGGUUUACCUGCCUUCUGGCUCUGAGGACUUUGCAGUUACUAUUUAAGGUCUGGUUAAUAGCUUCCUUUGCAUCGUGGUUGGUUAACAAGAGUAG